GCACCUGUAGCUCAGGGGAGAGAGCAAUGGAUUCCGGUUCCAUGAGCGGGGGUUCGAAUCCCUCCAGGUGCG
rnacentral:tRNA from 2 species